GAAAGUUAUUAUCAAAACCGUGCACGAAGGAGUUACCAAAAAGUUACUGUUUUUCUGAAAUUUCCAGCAUGAUUUUCAUCUUCUCCAACCCCAAAAACAUCCAUGAAAUCAUCUCCAAAAAUAUUUUACUCAUGAAACAAAGUUAUAUCCCUCUAUUUCAGCUACCCAAAACUUCAAACCUUAUCCCAAAAUGAUUUAUGAGUUGAAAGUUAUGAUCAAAACCAUGCACGAAGGCGUUAACAAAAAAUUGUUGCUUUUUCUGAAAUUUUCAGC
rnacentral:lncRNA from 1 species